rnacentral:rRNA from 1 species
AUUGAACGCUGGCGGCAUGCUUUACACAUGCAAGUCGAACGGUAACAGGCCGCAAGGUGCUGACGAGUGGCGAACGGGUGAGUAAUGCAUCGGAACGUGCCCAGUCGUGGGGGAUAACGCAGCGAAAGCUGCGCUAAUACCGCAUACGAUCUAUGGAUGAAAGCGGGGGACCGUAAGGCCUCGCGCGAUUGGAGCGGCCGAUGUCAGAUUAGGUAGAUGGUGGGGUAAAGGCUCACCAAGCCAACGAUCUGUAGCUGGUCUGAAAGGACGACCAGCCACACUGGGACUGAGACACGGCCCAGACUCCUACGGGAGGCAGCAGUGGGGAAUUUUGGACAAUGGGCGCAAGCCUGAUCCAGCAAUGCCGCGUGCAGGAAGAAGGCCUUCGGGUUGUAAACUGCUUUUGUACGGAACGAAACGGUCCUGGUUAAUACCUGGGGCUAAUGACGGUACCGUAAGAAUAAGCACCGGCUAACUACGUGCCAGCAGCCGCCGUAACAC